AUCUGCCUGGUAGUGGGGGAUAACGUUCGGAAACGGACGCUAAUACCGCAUACGUCCUACGGGAGAAAGCAGGGGACCUUCGGGCCUUGCGCUAUCAGAUGAGCCUAGGUCGGAUUAGCUAGUUGGUGAGGUAAUGGCUCACCAAGGCUACGAUCCGUAACUGGUCUGAGAGGAUGAUCAGUCACACUGGAACUGAGACACGGUCCAGACUCCUACGGGAGGCAGCAGUGGGGAAUAUUGGACAAUGGGCGAAAGCCUGAUCCAGCCAUGCCGCGUGUGUAAAGAAGGUCUUCGGAUUGUAAAGCACUUUAAGUUGGGAGGAAGGGCAGUUACCUAAUACGUAAUUGUUUUGACGUUACCGACAGAAUAAGCACCGGCUAACUCUGUGCCAGCAGCCGCGGUAAUACAGA
rnacentral:rRNA from 1 species